AGCUUUGCGCAGUGGCAAUAUCAUAACCAAUGAGGGUCUCCCGAGGUGUGAUUAUUGCUAGUUGAAAACUUUAACCAAUACCCCCGCCACGAUGAAGUGAAAUAAUCUUGUCGUCGGCAAUUUUUGAUAGCUCCAUCAGGAG
rnacentral:snRNA from 1 species